ACAACACAAUUGCAAUUUUUCAACGGCUGAUUAUUCCUCUCAAACGUUUUGAAAAGUCUUUGAAAAUAGGGAGAAUAAUCUAUAAUUUUAUUUUUAGAUUUCGAGAUCACGAACCCUGGAGGAUCUAUUCAUUGCUAUUUAGCGAAGCCACGUAUAUUAGUAGCUACUCUUGGUGUAACGCAAACAGCUUGCAACCGGUUAUAAGAAGUUGUCGUCCGAGUUCGACGCAAUGUAAGUAAAAUAGACAAUGUUGUGUUUUGAACACGAGCACGGAUUGAUCUCGCGAAAAUUUUAAGAUCAUUGAUUUGUGAAACUUGUUGUGGCAAAAGGAACUUAUUGUGCAAAAAGGUAGCCUACCGAGAUUGAAAUCAAUAAGGAUCAUUCUCAUAUCAUGAUGAUAUUGUUAAUACUUUACGAAGGCCGGAAUUGAAUUGUACACUAGUGAUUGAUGCUUGUACAGUUGUCCUUCAAAUUGCAUUUAAACAAUAUUAAUUAGAGAGUUUUAAUGGCCAGUGCUUGUUAUCACACUGAAAAAAAAUUUUGAAAAUCCAUAGAAUGGAAAUUGAAUGGACCUUCAUUCGAAAUACAAUGGAUUUUUGAUUAUCCUUAAUAAUUGUAUAUUUUCAUAGUAUGGAUAUAGUAUCGAAACAUGGAUCUAGACUAUGGAUUUAGACAUUUAAAUUAAUGGUACAAUUGCAAAUCUCAUAGAUGGAUUUCACAUUUUUUCUCACUGUCAAUCAUAAAUAAAUGCCACGGAAACGUGAAAAUACAUACGCACUUUGUCAUGUAUGUUUUCCUGUCUAUAUAUAUUUCAUAAUGUAAACAAGUAAUAUAUCUUGUAUAGUCGAAAUUGCAAUAACCAAAACGGAUAUUAAACCCGCAUAAAAGAACCUGUGUAAUUAAGAGUCACCAGUGGGUGUUUGUAUAGAUGGAAAUUUCGAGCGGAAAGAUUAUUUAACAAUAAUUCGCCGAAGGCGAGGUUAUUAUCCGGGAAUAUUCACCGAGACGAAGUCGAGGGGAAUAUUCCCCGAUAAUCACCUAGCCUGAGGCGAAUAAGUGUUUUAGUAUUUUUGCACAAGCUUUUUGUGUUUUUCUGGUCUGAAUUCAUUUUAAUUUCGCUUAUUUCUUUAUUACUAACUUCAACAAAACGGCUAGCUGCCAUUUUGAAAAUUUUGAUUUUGUUAUAUUCACCUGUAGGUUAAUAUAACAGAUCAAUACGUCAAAUUUGACCAAUCACCUUGUAGGAUCAAAUCCUAAGAAUUUGUAAUGUUCACUUGUACAAAAAUAAUAAAUAUAUUUAUUGCGGGGUGGCCCCCAAAAAAGUACUCCUCUUUGAUUCAGUACAACUUAUAUAAAAAUUAAAUUAAAGAGCUUUUACACUUAAACAAGAUGCAUUGUAUAUUCACUAAUGUCUAACUUAAAUAUUGAAUAUUGAGUCAAAGAGAUACUCGUGUAUAUUAAUUAAUAUGUGGCAUAUGUGAUUAUACCAGGCCACCCGGUAUAAUCAUAGGAUAUCAAUAUACACGAAUAUCAUGUUUCGCUCGCUACUCUUGGUUAAAUAAAUUAUUAUUAUAGAAAGCCCAGUCGACUUGUAAUCAAGACCCAUGAGGGGUGAUCUAAAAUUGCAAUCGUGGCUUCUUAAAUAGAGACCUUGUACGAUUUUAGGACGGCAACGCGACGGCGACGCGGCCAAACUAACUCCUUCAAAUAAAUGGUAGGCCUAGUAAAGAUAAUUCGUCGUAUAUUAUCAAUCGUGCGAAUUUAACACAGUCUUAGGAGUUGAAGACAUGGGUUUUAUGGUUGGAAAGGCACUUGUUGGGCGGCUUGAAAUGCUGCCGUUGUAUCAAGACGUGAUCAUGAACAUCUGUGAUUUGGCGUUGUAAACAGAGCGAAGGCCGAUAAUUUCUAAAUUAUUCAUUUAUUGUAAUUAUUCAAUUCUUUUCAAUUACUAAUUAUUGUGUUGGUAGCCGUCGCCAUCGCAUUGCCGUCCUAAAUCGUAAGGUCCCUAAUACCCAAGGGAUGACGGCACCUGCCAAUGAGAUGCAUAUAUUCCUCUGGCAAAUACGCACCGUCAUCCCUAUUCCAAGCAUGAUUAUCUCAUAUUUAUAUGCCACGCUUCUAGGAAAGUCUUUGACCAUAGCGAUUGUUGGUGGUAAUUACCGUUUAGAGUUUACCCACGCAAUCUCGUGUUUGGUGUAACAUACAUGUUCGCGGCCACAGCUGAUUUUCCCUUGUGUAAAGUCAGUGUAACAGCUAUCUGAUGUUCUUUUAGCCGUGUACCAAACUGGCGUUUAGACUGUUCCAAAUACUCUUUCUCGCAGUCACCGGAUGGUAUAGAAUAUUUAUCAUUUAUCGACCCGGGGCGAGGGGGAUUCGGCGUAAUAUUACCCGAAGUGAUGAAGUUAUCCUCCAUAUAUAUAUAUAUAUAUAUAUAUAUAUAUAUAUAUAUAUAUAUAUAUAUAUAUAUAUAUAUAUAUAUAUGGAGGAUAAUUUCCAGUUUUGUUAUAUCUGUCCAGCGGUGUUUCAUAAAUGUUUCUGUAGUUUUAUCUCAGAAAAGAAAACGUUGGAAGACAAGUUAAUUUUCUUUAAAUCGUUUCCUGAAAUUCAAUUUCGUGUCUGGCAUGCGUUUCGAAAUUUUAUGUUUCUGUAAGGCUCAAAAGGUAGUCCUCGAAAGGUUUCAUUUCCAAAAUAGCGGGAGUUGUUUUUAUUACUUUAAAUUUUUAUUCCUUUUUGGAAAAAAGUUAGCUUUCCACCUCAUGCGUUUUAUUACGCUUUCCAUUUUCCAAUCAAAUUUCUCAAAUAAGCAUCCUGAUGUGGCCAUGCAUAACCUGUCGAUGGGAAGAUGGCAGUGAAACUCAUUAGAAUAACAAUAUAACUCAUUAACUAUGUUAGUCAACGUUUAUUAAUAAAACUGGUCGUUUCACCGUCACGUGUGUAUCGUAUUUUUAUCAAAUCCACGAAUAUAAAGCAAUCUCCAGUUUCCCUAUUGUUCUAGUUACGGAUAGGCCACUUUCUUAAAACAUUGCUAUUGGUUAUUUGGGCAAGAAUACAAUACACACGUUACGGUGAAGGAACAGAUUUAUGAAUAAACGUUGACCAACAUAGAUAAUGAGUUAUAUUGUUAUUCUAACUAAUGAGUUUCACAGCCAUCUUCCUUUCGAUAGGAUAUGUUAUGGUAUAGGAAUCUUUUUCGAUUAGUAGUCAAAUCGAAAUUGCCUUAUGUUAAUUGAGGCAAAUAGUACCUUAAGAAAACAAGAGUGCACAACCGGUAUACAGGUGCAAAUAUAUGAAUGUGUUCUGGUUCACGAAAUGCUAAAGAGUGCUCGAUAUCAUAUACAGUAGGUAGAGAAGAAAUAGCCGUUUUACCUCAAAAAGUUGCCACAACAGCCUGUUUCAUCCAAGAGGAAUAUCAUGCAUCAGGUGGCUGACAAAUUUCGAAAAGUUGGCUGCUUAAAUGUUUACAGUCGCAAAACCUGGACGUGUGGGCGUCAAACAAUACAUGUAUUCCUUCCAUUGCCAUCAUUAUUUACUAUAAAUCUUUAUUUUCAUGAUUACAUGUCGAAACUAUUUCCGAUUUUAAAAGUAAAAAUUGUUUCUUUUUUUCCUUUAAAUUAAUUUUUUUUCAUCAUCACGUAUAAGAUACAGCGCGUUCUGGACUUUUGGUACUGACCACGUUAUGUUGAAAUCUUGUUUGUUGGGCAAUUACUCAUCGACCAUGUGCAUCUUGAAAAUCGAUAGAAUAUGCACCACCGCUUUAACAUUCCAAAGUAUUUUGCAUGUGUGCAGGGCGCACAAUGUACACCAAAAGGUUGGACAAUUGCUCACUUUUCGAUAAGCUUUGUCGUUAGGGUUUUUUCAAUGGUAUACAGUGUUAUCGUGUUCACUAUACAGUAUUGUGAUUGCUGUUUGGGGUGCGCCAAAGUCCUGCAUGGGCUUGAAUGGGUCCGCAAAUAGUUAGCAUUUUAAUCAACGUUUCGACUAGGUUUCAGUGAUCAUCAGGAAAGACGCCAAGUUUCCACCUGCUCCCCAAUUUCAUUGUGUGUUAUGUAAGACCCAGUACUAACUUUCUAAGUAAUCAUGUUACCUACUGAUCUGUGAUGCUACUGCACCAGUAGUGCAGAGUUAUAGUCUGGACCGUCUUGCAUUAGGCUAUUAAAGUUUCAAGAAUGUGGUGCACGCGUAGGCCAACGCCAGAUCUUCAAAACCUGGAUAUUUUCCCAAUUUGUUAAUUCAAACACGAUAAUUUUGCAAGAUUUCACAUUAAUUCUUUAUGGAAAUUGGCAUCCAAAGUAUAUCUUGAGAGAAACAGAUUUCUCGGGCUAAAUUGUUUUAUUCCCCCGGGAUGGUUUCGCUAAUCCGCAACUUAGUAGUUCAUACAACCAUGCCCCACGAUGGCUGGAUUAUUUUACCGCCCCCACAUCCCCGAUUCUAUUUGGCCUGGUUCUAUGAUCUGAUAUACAAAUGAUGGUAGAUAUAAUAUGAAGGCAUAAUGGUAAAUCGCCUAUUUAUUCAAUUUAUUUUCUCUAGAUUGGAAUCACUGCAGAAUUGAAGAACAAACAAAAUUCAAGCAGCAAGAAAUGGCAAUAAAUAACACAACAUCCAACAUUAAAGAGUGUUCAAUAGCCGGCUACACACAUGUCGUUAUUGUGGAAUUUCCUUCAAGUAAAUAUGUCGUCAACCAAGUUUUUACAUCUGUGGCAAUGUGCAUACUAAUGAUUCCUGUAAUACUUUUGAACGGUAUUACAGUUCUUACAAUCUGGAAAAAUCAACACAUGAGAGCAAAGGUUUGCCACUUUCCCGUAUUUAUCCAGUCAAUGGCUGACUUGUCUGUUGGAUUGCUAAGUCUCCCAUUGUUUAGCUACCUUCACCUCCGAGAAGUUUUUGGCUCGCCAGACUGUGUGUUAAGUUUUGUCUUUUCUACAAUAGCAUUCAUACCGUGGGGAUUAUCCUUAGCAGCUUUAUGCGCGUUGACUUUUGAAAGAUACAUGGGUGUUUUGCAUCCAAUUGCACAUCGCAACUAUGUUACAAAAAAGAUAUUUUUGUUAUACAUUUGUUCUGUCGUAUUGGUAACAUUCAUAAUUGUCCCCUUGGCUGUGGUUUCUGCAACAUUCUACUACAUUUUUUGCGCCAUCUACGCAAUUAUUCCUAUGUUGCUACAUACAUAUUGCUACUCACGGAUUUUGUAUUCAGCAAGGAAAAGACUACUAAGACCCAACUGCACCACACCGUGCGAAGAGAACGUGUCAAAAUCUCGUGUUGGAAAACGAUAUUCCGAGAAGGAAUUAAAGCUUGCCAAGUCUUGUGCAUUGGUUGUAGUUACAUUCUAUAUUUUUUGUAUUCCAGGCGAGUUCCUCAACAUUUAUUAUCUCGAAAAGGACAUAAUAUUCUAUAGAGUCGUAAUUGCUUGGUACGCCACAGCCCUCGGAGUAAAUACAAUACUUAACUCCGUUAUCUUCUUCUGGACAAGACCAAUGUUGAGGAAAGAAGCGUUUAAAGUUCUAAAAGGAAUCCGUGGUAAUUGAAUGUCGAAUAGACAUCUUCGUUUGCUACAACAUUCAAUUGCAUGAUGGCAUACCAGUAAAGUGUCAGUAACUGCUUGUGACCUGCAUAUUACAUAGUUUGGAGAUUAUUAUUAAAUGGCAAAGAACGGUUUUAAUAUGAUGCAAGAACAAUGUCGCUGUAUUGAAACUAUACAUUCAACUCAAUUUGUGAUUUAUCUUCAAAUUUAAUGAGUAAAAUUUAGUCUUUAGAGUACCAUAUAUGAACGGAGGAAUGCAAUCACCAUCAGCUUAACUUUUAAUGUUGGCAUUCUAGACUGUUCUGCAAUAGAUAAUCAGAAAAUGAAAUAGAAGAAUGAUGAUUCAAAAAAAGUUAUCAUAAAUAUGGUGUAAGAGUAAUAUUAAUUACGAAUAUUGCAUUGCAUAAAGCAAUAUAUGCUACAGUAUAGGGCGUCUGUUGAUCUUUUGAAGACAGAAUGAACAAACUAUAGCAUAUAUUUGAAUGCAGGUAAAAUACAAGUAUAUAAAAUGAGCGUUUUAUUAGAAUAAAGGUAGGUUAUUACAAGUCACAGAACGUUAUACAACUAUGAGUUCCUGAAAACUUUUACUAAAUUAAAGAGAGAGCUAUUGGAUGUCAGUUCCAGUCCCUUUUCUAUUGGUUUUGCCUGUGCGGAUAACACAAAGCUGCAACAACAACAAUAACAACAACAACAACAACAACAACAACUUACAGCGAAAACAACAAC